UAGUCCACGCCGUAAACGAUGGACACUUGGUGUUGGAGGUAUUGACCCCUUCAGUGGCGAAGCUAACGCGCUAAGUUAUCCGCCUGGGGAGUACGGCCGCAAGGUUAAAACUCAAAUGAAUUGACGGGGCCCGCACAAGCGGUGGAGCAUGUGGUUUAAUUCGAUGCAACGCGAAGAACCUUACCAUCCUUUGACAUCCUUGGAAUUCUGUAGAGAUACGGAAGUGCCGCAAGGAACCAAGUGACAGGUGCUGCAUGGCUGUCGUCAGCUCGUGUCGUGAGAUGUUGGGUUAAGUCCCGCAACGAGCGCAACCCUUAUCCUUAGUUGCCAUCAUUAAGUCGGGGACUCUAGGGAGACUGCCGGUGACAAGCCGGAGGAAGGUGGGGACGAGGGUCAAGUCAUCAUGGGCCCUUUUGGGGAUGGGGCUACACACGUGCUAC
rnacentral:rRNA from 1 species